UUAUAUUUUCCGUUUCUUACUUUUGUCUUCGAAAAGUGAAGAUGGCGUUUAAACUCAUGGAAAAACGAAUAUCGAUCCCGAGAACGUUUCGACGCGAAAACGCGUUCGGAUCUCUUGCAGCGACACUCCUAAGCGACGGACACGAUAGAAUCGGAUCGCUGAGACAUCAUCGCGUUUUCAACAGUUCGCAUUCACAUUACUAUUCAUAUUAAUAUUACCAGUACAAUUAUCAUUAUUGUUAUUAUUAUUAUUAUAACUUCUAUUAUUCAUCAUUAUUAUUUCCCGAGGGCUUGGCACUGUAAUUGUGAAGCUUGAAAAAAAAAUAAAAAAAUAAAAAAAAACGUU